AUACGUAGGUGGCAAGCGUUGUCCGGAUUUAUUGGGUUUAAAGGGAGCGUAGGCGGGAGAUCAAGUCAGCUGUGAAAUGUAGAUGCUCAACAUCUGCACUGCAGUUGAAACUGGUUUUCUUGAGUGCGUAAGGGGCAGGCGGAAUUCGUCGUGUAGCGGUGAAAUGCUUAGAUAUGACGAAGAACUCCGAUCGCGAAGGCAGCCUGCCGGGCCGCGACUGACGCUGAAGCUCGAAGGUGCGGGUAUCGAACAGGAUUAGAUACCCUGGUAGUCCGCACAGUAAACGAUGGAUACUCGCUGUCGGCGAUAUACGGUCGGUGGCCAAGCGAAAGCGUUAAGUACCCCACCUGGGGAGUACGCCGGCAACGGUGAAACUCAAAGGAAUUGGCGGGG
rnacentral:rRNA from 1 species